rnacentral:rRNA from 1 species
AGAUCGGCUUCUUCAGUUCGGCUGGCUGGAACACAGGUGCUGCAUGGCUGUCGUCAGCUCGUGUCGUGAGAUGUUGGGUUAAGUCCCGCAACGAGCGCAACCCUCAUCUUCAGUUGCCAUCAGGUUAAGCUGGGCACUCUGAAGAGACUGCCGGUGACAAACCGGAGGAAGGUGGGGAUGACGUCGAGUCAGCAUGGCCUUUAUGUCUGGGGCCACACACGUGCUACAAUGGCAGGUACAAACCGUCGCGAGACCGCAAGGUGGAGCUAAUCGGAGAAAGCCUGUCUCAGUUCGGAUUGUAGGCUGCAACUCGCCUGCAUGAAGUUGGAAUCGCUAGUAAUCGCGGAUCAGCACGCCGCGGUGAAUACGUUCCCGGGCCUUGUACACACCGCCCGUCACAUCACGAAAGCUGGCUGUACUAGAAGUCGCUGCGCCAACCCGCAAGGGAGGCAGGUGCCUAAGGUAUGGUCAGUGAUUGGGGUGAAGUCGUAACAAGGUAACCGUAA